rnacentral:rRNA from 1 species
UGGGGAAUCUUGCGCAAUGCGCGAAAGCGUGACGCAGCAACGCCGCGUGCGGGAAGACGGCCUUCGGGUUGUAAACCGCUUUCAGUUGGGACGAAGCUUCGCCGGUGAAUAGCCGGCUGGAGUGACGGUACCUUCAGAAGAAGCCCCGGCUAACUACGUGCCAGCAGCCGCGGUAAUACGUAGGGGGCAAGCGUUGUCCGGAAUCAUUGGGCGUAAAGCGCGUGUAGGCGGCUUCGUAAGUCCGUUGUGAAAGUCCAGGGCUCAACCCUGGAAUGCCGAUGGAUACUGCGGAGCUCGAGUCCGGAAGAGGCGAGUGGAAUUCCUGGUGUAGCGGUGAAAUGCGCAGAUAUCAGGAGGAACACCAAUGGCGAAGGCAGCUCGCUGGGACGGUACUGACGCUGAGACGCGAAAGCGUGGGGAGCAAACAGG